rnacentral:rRNA from 1 species
AUUGAACGCUGGCGGCAUGCCUUACACAUGCAAGUCGAACGGCAGCACGGGGGCAACCCUGGUGGUGAGUGGCGAACGGGUGAGUAAUGCAUCGGAACGUGCCCAGUAGUGGGGGAUAACCAGUCGAAAGGCUGGCUAAUACCGCAUACGACCUACGGGUGAAAGCGGGGGACCGUAAGGCCUCGCGCUAUUGGAGCGGCCGAUGUCUGAUUAGCUAGUCGGUGAGGUAAAGGCUCACCAAGCCGACGAUCUGUAGCUGGUCUGAGAGGACGACCAGCCACACUGGGACUGAGACACGGCCCAGACUCCUACGGGAGGCAGCAGUGGGGAAUUUUGGACAAUGGGCGCAAGCCUGAUCCAGCAAUGCCGCGUGCAGGAUGAAGGCCUUCGGGUUGUAAACUGCUUUUGUACGGAACGAAACGGCGAGCUCUAAUACAGUUUGCUAAUGACGGUACCGUAAGAAUAAGCACCGGCUAACUACGUGCCAGCAGCCGCCGUAA